rnacentral:lncRNA from 1 species
AAUGGAUCAACAUAAUUUUUAAACAUUUAAUCAAUUAAAAAUCAAUUCAAAAACGGAUUUUUUAAAUGCAUUUUAAUUUGGACAAAACCUCAAAUCCCUUCAAAACACCAAAUAAAUGGCCAAGGUAUUUAUCCUAGGUUAAACAAGGUCAAAUGACCUUAGACAAAAGAUUUCAUGAUUUUUAAAAGUCAGAAGUAUUUUUAAACAAUUAAAAAUAUGCACAAAAACAUUUAAU